CCACGCGGGACCAGAGGCGGCAGCGCCGUCCGGAGUCAGCGCGGCCGCAGCGCGGAGCUUCCUUAAGGCAGAUACAAAUAAUGAAACUGCAGAUGCCUGUGCUGAAUCCCAACAGCCGAGGAGUCUACCCAUAUGAAGAUGGAGGCCCAAAGUCAGAUUAAAAAAAGAAACAAACAAACCACCAUGGCCCGUAAAUCUGCCCUCUUUCUAUGGCAGCCCAGUGGAGACAGCUCUGGAAGGCAUAUCUGAAGCAAGGUGCUGGCUGGUUCUUAUUUUCAUUUUUGAUAGUGCAGAAAAUAUGGCAUUUCUUUCCUCCUGGUUCUAGUCUGCACAAAGUCCCAGUCCUGGGCCAGGCACACAGUAGGCCCAUAGAAGGUAGUGGAGAAAUGAGUCUGAGGUAUUGUAAUAUUCCUUCAGGAGCACAUUCGUACUGUACUUCUUCUAUUUAACUAUGUUAAGCGCCUGCACACACACACACACACACACACAGCUCCCCUCUUUGGGGAUGGGAAUGACUUUUAUUCUGUAAAAAGGUUUGGUAGAUCAAGGGGUGAGGUGGGAGUGCCUGUGUGCAGGGUACCGGACACCCUGCCCGUUUAGGGUCCUGAGUCAAGAGUAGGGCCCAGCCUCUGCCACCCGUUGUUCCCACACCUCCUGCCUGUUGCCUGGGCAUCAAGAGAGGGGACCUAUUACUGGGGGCCAGCUGCCAAAGCCAGGCGGGAUCCAGGGGAGAGGUUAAGGUCCGGGGAGAGGCGGCUAUUGAUCCGGCGUGGAACGCGAGACAGAGAGCGCAGCAAGACUAAAGGGGGAGCUGUGAGACCAGACAUUAACAGCUUUCAGCGCUAAUGAUGCCCGUGCCAGACGGGCUGAGGGAAAAAAAGGAGACUGGAGCGGCAGCUGGGAUUGCUCGCUGCCUGCACCCGGCCAGCU